rnacentral:rRNA from 1 species
GGAGUAUUUGGCAAUGGGGGAAACCCUGACCGAGCAACGCCGCGUGUGCGAUGGAGUCCCUCAGGGACGUGAAGCACUGUGGGGGGCCGCCAAACGGGCGGGCAGGAAAUGGCCCGUCCCCGAGGAGCCCCCUAGAAAGCGACUGCUAACCACGUGCCAGCAGCAGCGGUAAUACGUGGGUCGCAAGCGUUAUCCGGAAUCAUUGGGCGUAAAGAGUGAGCAGGCGGUCCGGGAAGUCCGCGGUGAAAUGCGGGGGCUCAACCCCCGCAGGCCGCGGAUACUUCCGGUCUGGGGUGCGGGAGAGGCGGACGGAACUCCGCGUGUAGCGGUGAAAUGCACUGAUACGCGGAAGAACACCGGUGGCGAAGGCGGUCCGCCAGACCGAUACCGACGCUCAGUCACGAAAGCGUGGGGAGCAAAUAGGAUUAGAUACCCUAGUAGUCCACGCCGUAAACGAUGGGGGCCAGGGCGCGGGGUCGACCCGCGUCCGAAGCAAACGCAUUAAGCCCCCCGCCUGGGUACUACGUUCGCAAGAAUAAAACUUAAAGGAAUUGGCGGGUGCCCGCACAAGCAGUGGAGCAUGCGGUUCAAUUCGUGGCUACACGUAGAACCUUACCAGGGUUUGACAUGCCGGCAAAGGCCCCGGAGACGGGGAGAUAGCUAUGCCGGACAAAGGUGGUGCAUGGCUGUCGUCAGCUCGUGUCGUGAGAUGUUAGGUCAAGUCCUCCAACGAGCGCGACCCCCGCCGCCAGUUGCCAUCAUCGAGUUGGGCACUCUGGCGGGACCGCCGGCGACAAGCCGGAGGAAGGCGGGGAUGACGUCAAGUCAUCAUGCCCCUUAUGCCCUGGGCCACACGCGUGCUACAAUGGCCGGCACAGUGGGAAGCGACGCCGCGAGGCGGAGCGGAUCCCAAAAGCCGGUCCCAGUACGGACCGGGGGCUGCAACCCGCCCCCGCGAAGCUGGAAUUGCUAGUAAUCGCGGAUCAGCCAAGCCGCGGUGAAUGCGUUCUCGGGCAUUGCACACACUGCCCGUCACACCAUGAAAGCCUGCAACGCUCUAAGUCGCCAGCCCGACCCGCGAGGGGGGGCGGCGCCCAAGGCGGGGCCGGUGAUUGGGGUUAAGUCGAAACAAGGUAUCCCUACGAGAACGUGGGGAUG